rnacentral:rRNA from 1 species
UACGGAGGGGGCUAGCGUUGUUCGGAAUUACUGGGCGUAAAGCGCACGUAGGCGGCUUUGUAAGUUAGAGGUGAAAGCCCGGAGCUUAACUCCGGAACUGCCUUUAAGACUGCAUCGCUCGAAUCAUGGAGAGGUCAGUGGAAUUCCGAGUGUAGAGGUGAAAUUCGUAGAUAUUCGGAAGAACACCAGUGGCGAAGGCGACAUACUGGCUCAUUACUGACGCUGAGGCUCGAAAGCGUGGGGAGCAAACAGG